UACGUAGGGUGCGAGCGUUGUCCGGAAUUAUUGGGCGUAAAGAGCUCGUAGGCGGUUUGUCGCGUCGACUGUGAAAACCCGAGGCUUAACCUCGGGCCUGCAGUCGAUACGGGCAGACUAGAGUUCGGUAGGGGAGACUGGAAUUCCUGGUGUAGCGGUGAAAUGCGCAGAUAUCAGGAGGAACACCGGUGGCGAAGGCGGGUCUCUGGGCCGAUACUGACGCUGAGGCGCGAAAGCUAGGGGAGCAAACGGG
rnacentral:rRNA from 1 species